rnacentral:rRNA from 1 species
AGAGUUUGAUCCUGGCUCAGGAUGAACGCUGGCGGCGUGCUUAACACAUGCAAGUCGAGCGAAGCGAUUUAAAUGAGACUUCGGUGGAUUUUAAAUUGACUGAGCGGCGGACGGGUGAGUAACGCGUGGAUAACCUGCCUCACACAGGGGGAUAACAGUUAGAAAUGACUGCUAAUACCGCAUAAGCGCACGGUACCGCAUGGUACAGUGUGAAAAACUCCGGUGGUGUGAGAUGGAUCCGCGUCUGAUUAGGUAGUUGGUGAGGUAACGGCCCACCAAGCCGACGAUCAGUAGCCGACCUGAGAGGGUGACCGGCCACAUUGGGACUGAGACACGGCCCAAACUCCUACGGGAGGCAGCAGUGGGGAAUAUUGCACAAUGGGGGAAACCCUGAUGCAGCGACGCCGCGUGAGUGAAGAAGUAUUUCGGUAUGUAAAGCUCUAUCAGCAGGGAAGAAAAUGACGGUACCUGACUAAGAAGCCCCGGCUAACUACGUGCCAGCAGCCGCGGUAAUACGUAGGGGGCAAGCGUUAUCCGGAUUUACUGGGUGUAAAGGGAGCGUAGACGGCGCAGCAAGUCUGAAGUGAAAGCCCGGGGCUCAACCCCGGGACUGCUUUGGAAACUGUUUAGCUAGAGUGCUGGAGAGGUAAGCGGAAUUCCUAGUGUAGCGGUGAAAUGCGUAGAUAUUAGGAGGAACACCAGUGGCGAAGGCGGCUUACUGGACAGUAACUGACGUUGAGGCUCGAAAGCGUGGGGAGCAAACAGGAUUAGAUACCCUGGUAGUCCACGCCGUAAACGAU